AGGCUGGUAUAAGUAGAAGGAUAGUAGUGAAGUAUAAUGUGGAUGCUGCUUGGCUAAUGGUGAUGAAGGGAUAGCUUACUGGUUGCCCUCCAAUUCAGGUGAGAGUUAGAAGGUCGGCGAUUAAAAGUCAAUAUAGGAAUUGGCUCAAUGGGCGAAAUGUUAUGCUCUGUUGCUUGGAUAUGUGAAGGGCAGGGAUUGUUGUUAGGAUUAGGAUAGAUAGCAUGAGGGCUAUUACACCUCCUAGUUUGUUGGGGACGGAUCGUAGGAUUGCGUAGGCGAAUAGGAAAUAUCACUCGGGUUUAAUGUGGGGUGGGGUGCUUAGGGGGUUAGCUAAGGUGUAGUUGUCUGGGUCGCUUAGGAGGUCUGGUGAGAGUAGUGUUAGUGUUAUUAGGGCGAGGAGAAAAAGGAGUAGGCCUAGGAUGUCUUUGAUUGAGUAGUAGGGGUGGAAGGUGAUUUUGUCGGAAUGGGAGGGGAUUCCCAGGGGGUUAUUUGAUCCUGUUUCGUGUAGGAAUAAGAGGUGUAGAGUUGUUAGGGCUGUGAUGAUGAAGGGUAGUAUGAAGUGUAGGGUGAAGAAUCGUGUUAGAGUGGGGCUAUUUACUGAGUAGCCACCUCAAACUCAUUGGACCAGGUCUGUUCCAAUGUAUGGGAUGGCGGACAGUAGAUUUGUAAUUACUGUGGCUCCUCAGAAGGAUAUUUGGCCUCAUGGGAGGACGUAACCUAUGAAGGCUGUUAUUAUAGUUAUAAAUAGUAGGACGAUGCCAAUGUUUCAGGUUUCUAGGUGGGUGAAUGAGCCAUAGUAUAGGCCUCGGCCGAUAUGUAAGAAGAGGCAGAUAAAGAACAUUGAGGCGCCGUUAGCGUGGAGAUGGCGAAUUAUUCAGCCGUAGUUUACGUCUCGAGUGAUGUGGGCGAUUGAUGAAAAGGCAGUGGAGGCGUCUGGUGAGUAAUGUAUAGCUAGGAAUAGUCCAGUGGUGAUUUGGAUGAUUAAGCAGGCGCCUAGGAGGGAGCCGAAGUUCCAUCAUGCGGAGAUGUUUGAUGGGGUGGGGAGGUCGAUAAGUGAGCGGUUGAUUAAUUUUAUUAGUGGGUUGGUUUUACGUGUUGAGGUCAU
rnacentral:lncRNA from 1 species